GAUGAAGAACGAGCGAAAUGCGAUACGUAAUGUGAAUUGCAGAAUUCAGUGAAUCAUCGAGUCUUUGAACGCACAUUGCGCCCCUUGGUAUCCCGAGGGGCAUGCCUGUUCGAGCGUCAUUUCACCACUCAAGCCUGGCUUGGUGUUGGGCGACGUCCCCUUUGGGGACGCGCCUCGAAACGCUCGGCGGCGUGGCACCGGCUUUAAGCGUAGCAGAAUCUUUCGCUUUGGAAGUCGGGGCCCCGUCUGCCGGAAGACCUACUCGCAAGGUUGACCUCGGAUCAGGCAGGGAUACCCGCUGAACUUAAGCAUAUCAAUAAGCGGAGGA
rnacentral:misc_RNA from 1 species